rnacentral:rRNA from 1 species
UACGAAGGGGGCUAGCGUUGCUCGGAAUUACUGGGCGUAAAGCGUGCGCAGGCGGUGAUGUAAGACAGAUGUGAAAUCCCCGGGCUCAACCUGGGAACUGCAUUUGUGACUGCAUCGCUGGAGUACGGCAGAGGGGGAUGGAAUUCCGCGUGUAGCAGUGAAAUGCGUAGAUAUGCGGAGGAACACCGAUGGCGAAGGCAAUCCCCUGGGCCUGUACUGACGCUGAGGUGCGAAAGCGUGGGGAGCAAACAGG